rnacentral:rRNA from 1 species
AGUGAACGCUGGCGGUAGGCCUAACACAUGCAAGUCGAACGGCAGCACAGUAAGAGCUUGCUCUUACGGGUGGCGAGUGGCGGACGGGUGAGGAAUACAUCGGAAUCUACUUUUUCGUGGGGGAUAACGUAGGGAAACUUACGCUAAUACCGCAUACGACCUACGGGUGAAAGCAGGGGAUCUUCGGACCUUGCGCGAUUGAAUGAGCCGAUGUCAGAUUAGCUAGUUGGCGGGGUAAAGGCCCACCAAGGCGACGAUCCGUAGCUGGUCUGAGAGGAUGAUCGGCCACACUGGAACUGAGACACGGUCCAGACUCCUACGGGAGGCAGCAGUGGGGAAUAUUGGACAAUGGGCGCAAGCCUGAUCCAGCCAUACCGCGUGGGUGAAGAAGGCCUUCGGGUUGUAAAGCCCUUUUGUUGGGAAAGAAAAGCAGCAGGUUAAUACCCCGCUGUUCUGACGGUACCCAAAGAAUAAGCACCGGCUAACUUCGUG